rnacentral:rRNA from 1 species
GGGCCCGCACAAGCGGUGGAGUAUGUGGUUUAAUUCGAUGCAACGCGAAGAACCUUACCAGGGUUUGACAUCCUGCGAAUCUCUUGGAAACGAGAGAGUGCCUUCGGGAGCGCAGUGACAGGUGGUGCAUGGCUGUCGUCAGCUCGUGUCGUGAGAUGUUGGGUUAAGUCCCGCAACGAGCGCAACCCACGUCUUUAGUUGCCAGCAUUCAGUUGGGCACUCUAGAGAGACCGCCGGUGAUAAACCGGAGGAAGGUGUGGAUGACGUCAAGUCAUCAUGCCCCUUACACCCUGGGCUACACACGUACUACAAUGCCACGGACAAAGGGCAGCAAACUCGCGAGAGCUAGCAAAUCCCAUAAACCGUGGCUCAGUUCAGAUCGUAGGCUGCAACUCGCCUACGUGAAGGCGGAAUCGCUAGUAAUCG